rnacentral:rRNA from 1 species
GAUGAACGCUAGCGGCAGGCCUAACACAUGCCAGUCGAGGGAGAAGCCCUUUCGGGGGCAGAAACCGGCGCACGGGUGCGUAACGCGUAUGCAACCUACCUUUCACAGGGGGAUAGCCCGAAGAAAUUUGGAAUAAUACCCCAUAAUAUUAUUGGAUGGCAUCAUUUGAUAAUUAAAACUGCGGUGGUGAAAGAUGGGCAUGCGUCCUAUUAGCUAGUUGGAGUGGUAACGGCACCCCAAGGCUACGAUAGGUAGGGGUCCUGAGGGGGAGAUCCCCCACACUGGUACUGAGACAGGGACCAGACUCCUACGGGAGGCAGCAGUGAGGAAUAUUGGUCAAUGGUCGGAAGACUGAACCAGCCAUGCCGCGUGCAGGAAGAAUGCCUUAUGGGUUGUAAACUGCUUUUAUAUGGGAAGAAUAAGGUGUACGUGUACAUUGAUGACGGUACCAUAUGAAUAAGCAUCGGCUAACUCCGUG